rnacentral:lncRNA from 1 species
CUAUAUCGGUUGGAUCAUCGACCGGUUAACUGGUUUGCAAGGAAGGAGAGCAAAAAACGCGCAAGAUCUUGAUGCGUUCUAUGAACAAAUUAUUGAUCUGCAUAAAGAGAAAAAGGAAGUAGGUAGUGAAGAUUUUGUGGACUCACUCUUGAGAUUGGAGAAAGAAGAAACUGUUGUUGGAAAUGACAAGUUCACUAGAAAUAAUGUUAAAGCAAUCUUGAUGGUAAAUAAUAACACAUUCAAAAUCCAGUGGUAAGAUAUUUUGUCACAAUACCUAACUUAGUACUUGUAACAGGACAUUCUUUUAGCGGGCAUUGAAACUUCUGCAAUAAGCAUGAUAUGGGCGAUGACAGAACUUGCGAGGAACCCACAAGUGAUGAGGAAAGUUCAAUCUGAAAUCCGAAACAAAUGUGGGAAGAGAGAACUAAUCAGAUACGAAGACAUAGAUCAACUCCAUUACUUGAAAAUGGUGAUUAAAGAAUCAUGGAGACUACAUCCUCCAGCACCUCUUCUGCUUCCAAGAGAAGUAAUAUCUGAAUUCGAGAUCGAUGGCUACAAGAUUCAACCAAAGACACAGAUUCAUGUCAAUGUAUGGGCUAUAGGGCGUGAUCCUGAUACCUGGAAAGACCCGGAUGAGUUCUUUCCCGAGAGGUUUAUGGAUAGUAACAUUGAUACAAAAGGACAGAGCUUUGAGCUAUUAC